AUAAGCUUCUUUUAUUGGAUAAAAAGGGGCCACAUGACAUUCAUUAUUCUUCAGUAAUAAAUUCAAUCGGUCAUUAACAGAACAAAACGGACCAGAAAACCGGUCGUUAACAAACUUUUACAUGACAAUGACCGUUGGGGCAUGGUUUCCGUCUGAUAAUAACCGUUGGGGCGUGUUUUCAGUUUUAUAAUGACCGUUGGGGCGUGGUUUCUCUGUUAAUGACCGGUGGGGCGUGGUUUCGCUGUUUAGAAGAGAGAUUUUCCUGUUUUCAAUAUUAUAUGUAAGUUGUUGAAUUGUUUAUUAUAGAGUAUUUAUAUAUGUACUGAACAAUUGCACUAAAAUGAAUGGCACUGUUACUACGACUGGUCUUCACUCUUUGUCAUAGAAAUAAUACAACUAAUCAAAUUUGCUUUAGGUAUUUUGAAAUUAUGCGAAUUUUCCAAAACAUGGUUUCUCAAUGAAAUAAACAUAAUAGUUCUUGAAAACUGGUAAUUAUCGUGAUACACGGACUGCC
rnacentral:lncRNA from 1 species